CAUCAGUCCUCUGCAAAAAUGUUAUUUCGAUGAACGCAAGGCCGAGACUAUCUUGUUCACUGUCAUAUCAUCAGCCCCUAGCGAAAUGACUAAGUAUAUAGUAAGAGCUUAAGAAGUAUUUAAUGAAUUGAAUUGAAAUUGAAAUUCCGUAUUCCCUUUGUAAAAGGCAACUGUCCUUGAAAUGAGCAACACGCUAAACCAUGUUAUACUAAAACUAUAUAUUCUCAGGCAAAAUCCUAGAAGGCAAUGUUGGACAAGAAAGUUAUGUACAAAUGGUAUAAAGAGGCUUCAAACAAAUUGGCUGCUGUCUCCCUUCACUUCAGACCCUGAAUGCAACAUUACAAGUACUAAGCUCUACAAUACAGAAAUGCUGCUGAACUAGAAUAUGACCUGAGAAAGAUAGGAGCAAAGGAAAGAAAAUGUCCAGAAAAGAUGCGGUAUGGAUGUCUUCGGUUGAGAUUAACUGGAUAUGGUUUCUCAUUACAAAGUUAAAACGUUGUGAAGAGGCAAGAGUGAAUGACGGCAUUACAUCACUAACCACCAACCACCAUCUUUUGGACUGAUGGUCAUUGCAUAGUCAGGAAGCAUCAGCAGGAUCUCUAUCUGCACCUCUACCCUACUUUGCUCCAGAAAUACAAGAACUAGUGAUUUCUCCUGGUGACUGUUCCACACGCUGACCAGAGAUAGUCUUCCUGCACAUAAGACCAGUUGCAGAUUGGCUGGCCUUCCCUUCCAUCUGCUAUUCUCCCCACCGUCCAACCUUUGUCUUGACUAUAAUCACAUGAUAUUUUCUGAGCCAAAAGUGUCCAACUGACCCAGAAUUCCUGAGCCAUAACACAGAUUACAAGACCAAGCCUUGCCACUUGGCCACCACACUUGACUCUGUUUAAGAUUAAAGGGAAGGAAUGUGGAGGAGGCUUCAUCACUACAACCAGGAGUGAAAGGACAUGUGCAUACAACCAAGCUGUGGACAACUAGUUCGCCAUCUCGUCACAAUACCAAUGAGCCAACUUUUAUAUUCGAUGCAGAAAUACUGUCUUAUUUAUCUGAUGUUUUACAGACACCGAGUUUCCACUUAGACAGUUGUCCAGGGCCCUGAAUCACUUACUUUAAUUAUGCUAACACCAGUGAAUGUGGUCAAGAAAUUCCAAGUACCUGAUCUAAUAACACGAUCCAAGUCUUUGCCAUUUCAUGGCCAAUCUUAAGAGUUUCACUUUGAGCAGUUACUCUAAAAGUUUUCUCUUUUUUUCUGUCAUGUAGCAGAAGUGUGCUAUUGGAUACAUCACUGAUUUUAAUUUUUUUUCUUUAGGAAAAGCCAAAAUAAUACUUCAUUCUGUCUUUAAAUACAUAUUAGUGAUGUGUAGCAAAUGAGACAAAAUUUAUAAACUAAAAAUGCCACACAAAUGGUAGUUUGAUGCUUUUUGUUCUGUUUGACUCUGUUGUCAGGAAAACCAGACAUAUGUGUUGUGAAUACAUUUUUUGA